GGAGUUGAGGGGAUGGAGGAUGGAAAGGAAAUGAGUAACCAUUAGCUGGUGAGGAAGAAAGGAAAGCCAGAGGAGGAGUGAAGUAAUGUACGGGGAGCAUUGCCAGGAUUGGAAGGAUGGAAGACUCUGCCAGAUAUAAGACCUUCAGCCUACUCCAUCCAAGGCAUCCAUCUGUCUUCAGAAGAGAUUAGAAUUUUGUUCUGAAGCCAUGCAAAGAGUAAGACCAAGUGCUAACAUCCAAUUUGCAUGUGCCGGGAGAGAAAAUUCUUCAUGGAUCUCUGGUGCUCCUACACAUCUCACUGAUGGAGUAACUGGGGCCAAGGGAGAUUACCAACUUGCCCAAGAUGUCAACAUUAGUAAGAGAAAGAGCCAAAUUUCAA